rnacentral:rRNA from 1 species
UAAGGGUUCGAUUCCGGAGAGGGAGCCUGAGAAAUGGCUACCACUUCCAAGGAAGGCAGCAGGCGCGCAAAUUCCCCAAUCCUGAUUCGGGGAGGUAGUGACAAGAAAUACCAUUAUAGGACGCUAUGCGUACUAUAUUUGGAAUGAGUACAAUUUAAACACCUUAACGAGGAACAACUAGAGGACAAGUCUGGUGCCAGCACCCGCGGUAAUUCCAGCUCUAGUAGUGUAUGUUGAAGUUGCUGCAGUUAAAAAGCUCGUAGUUGGAUUUCGGAAUGUGGAAGUCAAAGUCCGUCUCAACGGCGUGGCUCGAUUUCCGCUUCCUAUCUUUGGGUAAUGGCCCUCUUCCUUCACGGGUUGGGGUGUCCGUUCCCAAUCAUUUACUUUGAAAAAAUUCGCGCGCUCAAAGCAGGCGUAACUUGCUAUGAAGAGUACAGCAUGGGAUAAUAGAAUACGACUUCGGUCUUAUUUUGUUGGUUUCUAAGGCUGACGUAAUGAUUAAUAGGGAUAGUUGGGGCCGCUUGUAUUCAGUGGCUAGAGGUGAAAUUCUAGGAUUCACUGAAGACAAACUACUGCGAAAGCAUUCGGCAAGGAUGUUUUCAUUAAUCAAGAACGAAAGUUGGGGGAUCGAAGAUGAUCAGAUACCGUCGUAGUCUCAACUAUAAACGAUGUGAACCAAGGAUCCGGUUUAGAUGAUGGAUGUCUUUCCGGGCACUGUGUGAGAAAUCAGAGUAUUUGCAUUCCGGGGGGAGUAUGGUCGCAAGGCUGAAACUUAAAGGAAUUGACGGAAGGGCACCACCAGGAGUGGAACCUGCGGCUUAAUUUGACCCAACACGGGGAAACUUACCAGGUCCGGACACUUGAAGGAUUGACAGAUUGAAAGCUCUUUCUUGAUUAAGUGAGUGGUGGUGCAUGGCCGUUUUUAGUUGGUGGAGUGAUUUGUCUGGUUAAUUCCGUUAACGAACGAGACCUUAACCUAUUAAUUAGUUACGCGAACUUGGGCUUCGGCCCUUUCGGUUCGUGGACAACUUCUUAGAGGGACUCUCGGCAUUUAUAGCCGAUGGAAGUUUGAGGCAAAAACAGGUCUGUGAUGCCCUUCGAUGCCCUGGGCCGCACGCGCGUUACACUGACUAUUUCAACAAGUUCUUCCUUAUCAGAAGUUGAUUAGGUAAGCUGAAAAGGUAGUCGUGAUGGGGAUUGAACAUUGCAAUUAUUGUUCAUGGACGAGGAAUUCCUUGUAGGCGUAGUUCAUCAGACUACGCCGAAUACGUCCCUGCCCUUUGUACACACCGCCCGUCGCUCCUACCGAUUGGAGGCUUCGGUGAGAACUCAGGACGACAGCAUUUUAGCUUAUCAGAAAUGGUAAGCGGAUGCAGUCGGAAUUUGUUCAAACCUCAGUUUCUAGAGGAAGGAGAAGUCGUAACAAGGUU